AUGAUGAUUAUAUGAAAACCUUGGUGGUGACGGAUGGGCAUGCGUAGCAUUAGCUAGAUGGUGCGGUAACGGCGUACCAUGGCGACGAUGCUUAGGGGUUCUGAGAGGAAGGUCCCCCACACUGGUACUGAGAUACGGACCAGACUCCUACGGGAGGCAGCAGUGAGGAAUAUUGGUCAAUGGUCGGAAGACUGAACUAGCCAAGUAGCGUGAAGGAUGAAGGUUCUAUGGAUUGUAAACUUCUUUUAUACGGGAAUAAAACACCUUACGUGUAGGGUCUUGUAUGUACCGUAUGAAUAAGCAUCGGCUAACUCCGUG
rnacentral:rRNA from 1 species